rnacentral:rRNA from 1 species
AGUGAACGCUGGCGGUAGGCCUAACACAUGCAAGUCGAACGGCAGCACAGUAAGAGCUUGCUCUUACGGGUGGCGAGUGGCGGACGGGUGAGGAAUACAUCGGAAUCUACUUUUUCGUGGGGGAUAACGUAGGGAAACUUACGCUAAUACCGCAUACGACCUACGGGUGAAAGCAGGGGAUCUUCGGACCUUGCGCGAUUGAAUGAGCCGAUGUCGGAUUAGCUAGUUGGCGGGGUAAAGGCCCACCAAGGCGGCGAUCCGUAGCUGGUCUGAGAGGAUGAUCAGCCACACUGGAACUGAGACACGGUCCAGACUCCUACGGGAGGCAGCAGUGGGGAAUAUUGGACAAUGGGCGCAAGCCUGAUCCAGCCAUACCGCGUGGGUGAAGAAGGCCUUCGGGUUGUAAAGCCCUUUUGUUGGGAAAGAAAAGCAGCAGGUUAAUACCCCGCUGUUCUGACGGUACCCAAAGAGUAAGCACCGGCUAACUUCGUG